rnacentral:lncRNA from 1 species
UUUGGAGUAUAUAUUAGAAAUUAAGAUUUACUGCAUUUGCAGACCAUUUUGCCUUUUUAUGAAAAAAGUGGAGGCAAUAGAGACCCACUUGUCCAAUGUGUCAUUUUCAACACGGUGGGCAAGCGGAGGGUGGCAGCUUUAUUUAUCACUGCCCGCUUGCUGGAGUGCUGGUAAAUGGAAUUGCUUGCUCUGCCAAGCACAUGGGGAAUGAGCACAGCAGUGAGGCUGGGUUUUUACAGCAGCUCUGUGAUCUUGAAUUAUGAAAGGAUUAGACAAGAUUUGAGAGAAGGGAACCUCUGUUGUUUUUCUUCCCUCUUUUGUAAAGAUUUGAGGGUGAGGAAAAGCCUAGCAUAAAGACAAUUUAGAAAGUCCACCAGAUGAUGUUCUUUGGAAAAUGGGUUCGGAGAUUUCUGAUUUAUUUCCUCUGGUUAACUGCCAAGUAAGAAAUCACAAUGCAAAUAAUGACUUCUCUCUCUAGAGUGAGGAAUCCAUUAGUAUUUAACCCAAAGUCCUGCUGUGGCCCUGAAGCACUGCUUUCACCGCCAAGCUUAAGGCCCACAUACUAUUCUGUUUUCAUACAUAUGAGUUGAAGCCCAGGUCUGCAUAACAAUGUUACUAGUAAGUGAACUCUAUUUUUUGGAGGUGCUUAUCAUUCCUAAAUUUUAUCAAAUCCAAUUGGUCUGCAAGCUGUUAGUUUUUGGGUAUCUUUGUUAAGGAAGCUAUGGAUACCCAUAGUACCAUUUUUGGCCAACCCCCUUCCUGCCUAACCUUUAGGCCAUGCCCACAGGUCCGUCUCUGCGCAUCCCAUUAUCCUCUGGUGCCUCUUCAAGGCAGGCUCAACCGAAGCCGACAUCCCAACGUCCUAGGGGUAUUAUUCAGGGGCUUUAGUGUAAUGAGAGGCUCUUCCUGAAGUUCCAGCCUCUCUCUCCAUCCUCUGCGGCAGCCACAAAGCUUCUUGAAUAUGUCAUG